AACAACAACAUUCGGACCGUCGGUCUAUAGAGCAAUAUCACCCGCUCGGUGGAAGACCUUCCCUUCGUCGUUAUC
rnacentral:pre_miRNA from 1 species